rnacentral:lncRNA from 1 species
UGCUACGAGCACUUGUUACCGUUUCUAUGCUGGAGAACCGGCGUUGGUAGUUCAUGUCAGCUCAGGUGGCUUUAUCGAUCCCACGACCUUCUCACCUGGCUGCUCCCAAUCUCGUCCCAUGCAAUACCUGGCGAGGUGGCCUCACCCGGAUUCCGGACAGCUGUUUAUCUAGCUUUGCGUGGAACAUCUUCCCAACUAACUUGCUCGGCUACAAGCCCACCGGCCAAUUUACUGAUGUAAUAACGUAAAUAUGCAUGUACAUAUUCACUAGUACAUAGUUUCUUUGAGGAAACUGCAUUGGUGUGCUCCCACGUAUGAAAGGAGUAAUAAGGACAUGGCUGAAGGCACAUACAUUGCAUAGAUAAGCUUUUGGGUGGAAUUUGUUGACAUCACCCCCACAGUUCCUGUUUUUGUGUUUAGUUCCUUAUCGAUAACGGUAGCAAAAUAAACUCUUUGACAUGACCGAUUGCUAGAAGUUCAUUAGUUAAUUUUAACCUUUCCGGCGUAGACAAGAUAUAUGUAUGUACUGAUUUCAUAUAUGGCUAAAUGAGUAACACACAGUUGUUUUUCUAUUUUCCAGUUACGUUAAUUCACGACGACAAUUAGGUUAUAUUACUGUUAACAAUCUAAUUGUAGCAUAGUUAUGGUACCCAUUUUUUACUAAGUUAACAUUUAGUUUACUACGUUUAGUUUCUUUCGGAGCGUUUACUAUGUCGGGACCUACCCGUAGUUAUCCAUAUUUUCUGUAGAUCUUAAGUUAAUUGAAGUUGUCGACUUUCAAGCCUUUUCCUUGAAAAUAAAUGCUAGUUAGAGUGAAUCAAAUAGUCAUGUGUGUAUAAUAAGAGAUGGAUUUCGGGUAUAUUGCAGAGCGGGAAACGAUUUAAAUAAAUCAUUUGCUAGUAUUUGAAUACAUUUUACAAACUGAGCUAAAAUUAUAUUCAAUUUUAUUCACCAGGCUUCUAUUUAUUCAAUUAUAAUACAUGGCAUUUAAUGAAAAAUAUUGGCAUUAUUAAGGUGAGCGGUGAUUUCUUCCAUUUGAAAUGUUAUUUCGUUUAUUGCUAAUAAAUAUGAGCUGCAUGUCUCCUCAUUCAUGUUUAUAUUACAUUGUUUCUGCACAACUACGAAAGUCGAAUUUUACUGCACUACAUUCCUAUAGACUAGACAUUCUUGCAUAAUAUUUAAAAGAAUACGGCGAUAAUUAUAUACUUUGAUGAAAAUAUGCAUACACAUCAUCAAAAACUAAUAUAAUUCUCAAACCAUAUAUCAUUCUAAAUUAAGCGGGAAAACUGAGUAUAUUUGAAAUGAAACUAAAAAAGCGUUUCAUACUGAAAUUAUUUUGUAUAUAAACUUUCCAGCUGUCCAUAUUGUUUGUUUUUAAGCAUUUGUCCAUAGUAUUUUUGGAAUUAUAAUUUGAUAUUGAUAUAGAUAUAGCGAGAGGAUAUUGUUUUAAUACUUUUCACUUUAAAGUUUUAUUUCUUUUAUGAAAUCUUUUUUUGGUGUUUCGCUCUUACGUUGUGUUGACUUGAAUAAAUAUAUCUGAUGUAUAUUUAGACAAUUUUAUUUAAAAACAUGUUUAAAAUAAAUGUUCCGUUAGUACAAAUUA